UACGUAGGGACCAAGCGUUGUUCGGAUUUACUGGGCGUAAAGGGCGCGUAGGCGGCAUGACAAGUCACUUGUGAAGUCUCCGGGCUUAACUCGGAACGGUCAAGUGAUACUGUCGCGCUAGAGUGCGGAAGGGGCAAUCAGAAUUCUUGGUGUAGCGGUGAAAUGCGUAGAUAUCAAGAGGAAUACCUGAGGUGAAGACGGGUUGCUAGGCCGACACUGACGCUGAAGCGCGAAAGCCAGGGGAGCAAACGGG
rnacentral:rRNA from 1 species